rnacentral:rRNA from 1 species
UACGUAGGGUGCGAGCGUUAAUCGGAAUUACUGGGCGUAAAGCGUGCGUAGGCGGUUUGUUAAGUCCGUUGUGAAAGCCCUGGGCUCAACCUGGGAAUUGCAGUGGAUACUGGCGAGCUAGAGUGCGGUAGAGGAUGGUGGAAUUCCCGGUGUAGCGGUGAAAUGCGUAGAGAUCGGGAGGAACACCCGUGGCGAAGGCGGCCAUCUGGACCAGCACUGACGCUGAGGCACGAAAGCGUGGGGAGCAAACAGG